rnacentral:rRNA from 1 species
UGUCCAGACUCCUACGGGAGGCAGCAGUGGGGGAUAUUGCACAAUGGGGGGAACCCUGAUGCAGCGACGCCGCGUGGGUGAAGGAGCGUUUCGGCGCGUAAAGCCCUAUCGGCAGGGAAGAAGGAGGACGGUACCUGAAGAAGAAGCACCGGCUAAAUACGUGCCAGCAGCCGCGGUAAUACGUAUGGUGCAAGCGUUAUCCGGAUUUACUGGGUGUAAAGGGAGCGCAGGCGGUUCUGCAAGUCUGAUGUGAAAGCCCGGGGCUCAACCGCGGGACUGCAUUGGAAACUGCGGGACUGGAGUGUCGGAGGGGUAAGCGGAAUUCCUGGUGUAGCGGUGAAAUGCGUAGAUAUCAGGAGGAACACCGGUGGCGAAGGCGGCUUACUGGACGAUGACUGACGCUGAGGCUCGAAAGCGUGGGGAGCAAACAGGAUUAGAUACCCGUGUAAA